AACGAACGCUGGCGGCAUGCCUAACACAUGCAAGUCGAACGAGACCUUCGGGUCUAGUGGCGCACGGGUGCGUAACGCGUGGGAAUCUGCCCUUCGGUUCGGAAUAACAGUGGGAAACUACUGCUAAUACCGGAUAAUGACGUAAGUCCAAAGAUUUAUCGCCGAAGGAUGAGCCCGCGUAGGAUUAGCUAGUUGGUGGGGUAAAGGCCUACCAAGGCGACGAUCCUUAGCUGGUCGAGAGGAUGAUCAGCCACACUGGGACUGAGACACGGCCCAGACUCCUACGGGAGGCAGCAGUGGGGAAUAUUGGACAAUGGGCGAAAGCCUGAUCCAGCAAUGCCGCGUGAGUGAUGAAGGCCUUAGGGUUGUAAAGCUCUUUUGUC
rnacentral:rRNA from 1 species